rnacentral:tRNA from 1 species
GGAUUGUAGCUCAGCUGGGAGAGCGCCUGCUUCGCAUGUAGGAGGCCGAGGGUUCGAAUCCCUUCAGUUCC